CACGUAGGGCGCAAGCGUUGUCCGGAAUUAUUGGGCGUAAAGAGCUCGUAGGCGGUCUGUUGCGUCCGCUGUGAAAACUCGGGGCUUAACCCCGAGCCUGCAGUGGAUACGGGCAGACUAGAGGUAGGUAGGGGAGAAUGGAAUUCCCGGUGUAGCGGUGAAAUGCGCAGAUAUCAGGAGGAACACCUAUGGCGAAGGCAGCUCUCUGGUACGUGACUGACGCUGAGACGCGAAAGCGUGGGGAGCAAACAGG
rnacentral:rRNA from 1 species